AUACAGUAUUUAAAUAAGUGCUGCUUAAAAUAAGAAAAGUGACCAAUUCGACGUCGUUAUCAUUGAACACCACAAACCGAAACCUUCAAGUCAACAAGGCGGCUCGUGUUGAACAACACCAUGAAGUUGGCGCUCUUCGCUUUGAGCCUUUUGCUGCUCUUUGCAAUCGGCACCAGCGAUAUUUUCAGUGGUCGCCCUCCAAUCGUUGCUCAGUUAAAGAUGGCCGACCCUGGUCUGGCUUCUGGCCCUCUUGGCAGAUUCUUUCACCAACCGCUUGUUGGCAGAUUCCUUCGGCAGUCUUGAUCAUGGAUCAGUCAUACUCCAGUGUGCCAAAGCGGCAGGGGCGCAUCAGGUCCAAAUGCUGUCGAGAUUUCUCGAGCAUUCCUUAAUUUUAGUUGGCUUGCUAAGCAUUAAAAAUCAAUAAAAAAAA